rnacentral:ribozyme from 1 species
AAUGACAUCUAAUUUAGAACAAGGAGAUUUGCCGGGUACACCAAGGAUUAUGAAAGAAAAAAAACAGCAACAACCUUCAGCACCAGGAACACAAUUUCAAGUCGAAACUCCAGAAAAAGGACCAGCACGACUAAAGACGCCAAUAAAAUCAUCAGCAGACCAUACAGAUGAACACACUAUUCUUUUAAGUGAACCGCGUGA